AGCCCCGUGGUGUAGCGGUCCAGCAUAGAGGGUUCUGGUCCCUUAGACCUAGGUUCGAGUCCUGGCGGGGCUACCA
rnacentral:tRNA from 1 species